AAAGGGUAGCAAUACCUGAGUAAAGCGGCGAACGGGUGAGUAACACGUGGUUAACCUGCCUCGAUGUGGGGGAUACCCCGGGGAAACUCGGGAUAAUACCGCAUGAUGUCCUUCGGGUGACGGCCUGGGGGAGCAAAGCCGGGGAUCGUAAGACCUGGCGCAUUGAGAGGGGACCGCGGCCGAUUAGCUAGUUGGCGGGGUAAUGGCCCACCAAGGCGACGAUCGGUAGCCGGCCUGAGAGGGUGAACGGCCACACCGGAACUGAGACACGGUCCGGACUCCUACGGGAGGCAGCAGUGGGGAAUUUUGCGCAAUGGGCGAAAGCCUGACGCAGCAACGCCGCGUGGAGGAUGAAGGAUCUCUGAUUUGUAAACUCCUGUCGGCCGGGAAGAAUUGGCGGGGCGCUAAUCAGCUCCGUUUUGACUGUACCGGCAAAGGAAGCCCCGGCUAACUCCGUGCCAGCAGCCGCGGUAAUACGGAGGGGGCAAGCGUUACUCGGAAUUAUUGGGCGUAAAGGGCGCGUAGGCGGUCGUGCGCGUCGGAGGUGAAAUCCCCGGGCUUAACCCGGGAGCUGCCUCCGAUACGGCACGGCUUGAGUCCGGGAGAGGGGAGCAGAAUUCCCAGUGUAGCNGUGAAAUGCGUAGAUAUUGGGAGGAAUACCGGUGGCGAAGGCGGCUCCCUGGACCGGUACUGACGCUGAGGCGCGAAAGCGUGGGUAGCAAACAGGAUUAGAUACCCUGGUAGUCCACGCCGUAAACGAUGGGUGCUUGGUGUCGGGGGUAUCGACCCCUCCGGUGCCGAAGCU
rnacentral:rRNA from 1 species